rnacentral:rRNA from 1 species
GAGUGAAGAGGGAAGAGCUCAUCAUUGGAAUCUGGCGGUGUUGCACCGUCCGAGUUGUAGAUGAGGAGUGGUUCAUCUGGACUGCAUGGCGUCCAAGUACAAUAGGCCGUCAGUGGGACAUCAUAGAGGGUGACAAUCCCGUCCUUGAUGCCAAUGUGCAAGUCCAUUACGAUGACCAUCUCAGAGAGUCGAGCAGUUUGGGAUUUGCUGCUUAAACAUGGGAGGUAGAUUCCUUCUAAAGCUAAAUACAGGCAAGAGACCGAUAGAGAACAAGUACCGCAAGGGAAAGAUGAAAUAGCACUCUGUGAAGGGAGUCAAAAGGCGUGAAAUUGUUGCGAGAGAAGCGAUUCAAGUCAGCGUAGCUAGGCCCAUUAAGCCUCUUUGCGCUUUGGACUAGCUUUGCCAGCGGUCUUGUCCUUAGAGACUUGACUUGUAUGUCCAGCCUGGUAUGCACAGGUAGCCCUCCGGGGUCAGUGACAUGGCUGGUGGAAUGGCUUGCAAUCGACCCGUCUUGAAACACGGACCAAGGAGUCUAACAUGUAUGCGAGUAUAAGGGUGGCAAACCCGUAUGCGCAAUGAAAGUGAUUUUCGGUGAUUGAGAAUGGCCUGAUGACCAGACAAGCAAUAUAUGUCCCUCGUACGGCCAUUGCCCAAGUUCCGUGGUAGAUCCCACGAACAUGGAGUUGGAGCAUACAUGCUAGGACCCGAAAGAUGGUGAACUAUGCCUGGACAAAGCGAAGCCAAAGGAAACUCUGGUGGAGGCUUGUAGCGAUUCUGACGUGCAAAUCGAUCGUC